rnacentral:rRNA from 1 species
AUUGAACGCUGGCGGCAUGCCUUACACAUGCAAGUCGAACGGCAGCACGGGAGCAAUCCUGGUGGCGAGUGGCGAACGGGUGAGUAAUAUAUCGGAACGUGCCCAGUCGUGGGGAUAACGUAGCGAAAGCUACGCUAAUACCGCAUACGAUCUAUGGAUGAAAGCGGGGGAUCGCAAGACCUCGCGCGAUUGGAGCGGCCGAUAUCAGAUUAGAUAGUUGGUGAGGUAAAGGCUCACCAAGCCGACGAUCUGUAGCUGGUCUGAGAGGACGACCAGCCACACUGGGACUGAGACACGGCCCAGACUCCUACGGGAGGCAGCAGUGGGGAAUUUUUGGACAAUGGGCGGCAAGCCUGAUCCAGCAAUGCCGCGUGCAGGAUGAAGG